rnacentral:misc_RNA from 1 species
CUCAGCAAGACGGGCACUGCUGUC